ACACCACUCACCUCCCUAGAUAAUUCGCAGUUGUCAGUUAGAGCCUUAUCACCCAAAAGGCCUCAUGAAGCAAGCUUUGAGGCAAAAGAAAAAAUAGUUCUUGUCUUCCACACAGCAUUAAAAAAUAAAUAAGAACUAUUAGGAAUGGUUCACUGGGGCUUCCUUUUCAGUAUAUGUUUCAGUUGAUAAUCUGGCCAUUCCCAAAUAUUUACUAUUACAUACAUAAGAGAAAUGGAGAAUAAAUAUCUCAUUUAGGAUUUCAGGUUUUAGUGUUAGCUCUUAGUGGUAGGAACUGUGUUCUCCAUGAUGUUUUUUCAAGCAGUGUUUCUCUAACAGCUGACAACCUAUGACCCACACUCAAGCCUCCCAGAUUUGUGACUGUACUAAGAAGACAGAGUUAAGCUCUUUUAAUGCUGCCACUCUUCUUUGACUGCUACUGUGUGAAGUUUUUUGUUAGAAAUACUCAAACAGUAUUUCUACUUUUUCCAUUUACAUUACUUCUCACAAUCAGCUGUGGCUUCUUUUCAUUCAUGAUGAACACACAUGAAGGAAGUCCUUUGAAAGCAGAAGUUUCUCCACUGAAGAAAGAUAAUUUCCUCCCAGGAAAUUUCAUAUAUUCUGGUCAGGUUUUUUCAGUUGUUUGUCGAAACACUGCUGUCCUGUUCUGCAAUUUGAUGUCUCUGAAAAGGGUUUCAGCUACUAUCAACUAUUAA
rnacentral:lncRNA from 1 species